UACGAAGGGUGCAAACGUUGCUCGGAAUUAUUGGGCGUAAAGCGCACGUAGGCGGCAUUGCAAGUCGGAUGUGAAAUCUUAUGGCUUAACCAUAAAAGUGCAUCCGAAACUGCAGUGCUUGAGUACUUAAGAGGAUCGCGGAAUUCCCGGUGUAGAGGUGAAAUUCGUAGAUAUCGGGAGGAACACCAGUGGCGAAGGCGGCGACCUGGACAAGUACUGACACUCAACUACGAAAGCGUGGGGAGCAAACAGG
rnacentral:rRNA from 1 species